rnacentral:lncRNA from 1 species
CAACGAGGAGCUUGGGACAUCUGAGAAUGGCACCUAGCAUGGAAAAUAAGACCAAAACAAAACACUCCUGACAACGCCCACAGAAAUCCCUAUCAUUUUACUUGCCUGCACGUGCAGAAAUGAAGAAUGUAGAAGAACUUCAGUAUGGCUAAAGUGGUGGCGUUUCCAGCUGGGUAAAACUAGGAAGGGAUUUCAGAGUGGUUGCAGGAGCACUAGGGAGUGAAUGUGGAACCAACAGGAAAUGAGCACCAGGCUCCCAAAAAAUGUAGUGAAGCUGCUGCCAUUCUACAUUUGCCUCGGAUGGAACUCCGUGAUACCACCUCGCUUCACGAUAUUUCACAUUGCCUGAUGGAACCCAAAGAAACCAG